rnacentral:lncRNA from 1 species
GAUGAAUUUGAUAAAAGUAUACAAUUACAAGAUCCUACACUAAGUUGACAAAUUGAAAGUGCAUUACAUAUUAAGUUGGCCAGGUAUGUAUCAUGUACUCGUAUGCGAUUUUGAUUUGAAUUAAAUUAUAAAUAUAUAAAGUGAUGCAUCUGUGAAUAAGUGUUAUGACUAUAAAUGUGAUUGUGAUAUAUUCGGUAAAUGUGUGAAGUUAUGUGAAGUGAUUCUAUGUUUAUAUUCAAAUAUAAACACUUGGUCCUUGUGGAAAGGUUUGUGGAAGUAUAUGAUUUUAUUUUUAGGUGAUUACGAUCUUGGAAAAUUAAAUGUGAAUAUGAUAUUGUAUUUCAUUCGUUUUAAUUGAACUAAAGCUGAUAGUGAAGCAUUUUA